GGCCGUAGCCUCUCCUCACACAGCGCCACGCUUCCAUUUUCCCCUCUGCGGACGUCCGAUUCCCAGGCUCGGCGCUCAACCUCAGCCUCUACGCCCGGUCCGGCGGCCGAAAGCACCAGGAGCUCCCCAUCACUAGACGUCGGGACUCCCGGCCCGGCUGCAAGGCAUGCUGGGAGGAUCGGGCUGCCGGCCGCCAAGUCCCCAUCUUGCUCCGCGGAAGUCUGCGAAUUACAACGCCGAAUUGUAUUCAAGCAGCAUGCGCAGAGCGGGAGAAGCGUAGACGGCCAUUUCGAAAUAGGGCAGACGCCCGACUUCUGUCUUAAAGAAACAAGAACUAAGGGCCAAACAGCUUUGCGUAGACCUACGGAAGGGUAGGGGGUGGUGACUUCGUGAGAGCUAAGAAGAAAAAGGGAGGCGACCAUUUCAGCAUCUGGACUGGGACAUCCAGAUUGGAUCUGCAAACAAGGCAGGACCAGGAGAUAGAAGAAAAGUCCAAAACAAACUGAAACAGAAAUGUUUUACUUUGACACAUCUGGAGAAGGCCUUCACUAGCUUCCAGAGGACAGGAAGAAUCAGAAGGCCCCUGGACAUUUAGCUGGAAGGAGUCCUUUGUGAAGGCUAACAUCAAAGUGUAAGAGCCUGUGUUGACUGACCUGCCAGACGGGUUAAGUGGCACCCAACCCAAUGAGGGGCGCUGAGUACGAGGGGUUUCAUGAAGAAUGCUGAUCGACCACAUUAGGAUUGCCGGCUGAACUUGAAGAAUUUAUAGGGAGACGACUACGAGGGAACUUACCAGGGCUCGGGGACCAUGUUUGGGAAAUGGUGGCACCUCCUUUGGAUGGUUGGUUUCCGGUAUCUGGUAAGACCCAUACAGGGUGGAUUUGAGGAUCCCAAUGCAGCCAGACGGUUCAUACAGGAACGUUUUGGGAAUCCUUGUGAGUGCCGAGGAGGAUCUAGGGAAACUUUCCCCGACUGGGUUCUAUCUGAGAGUGGAACUAUCCGCAACCCCAUCAUUUCCAUGGUUAACUGUGGCUCUAAGACAGCGUAUCGAGUAGCCAUUGGUUCCAACACAGGAGGUGCUAAUAUGAAAUAUUUCUGUGUAUCCAAACCACAGAUUAUUCCUGUUGCAGACGGCUGUCCUGGGCCCUGCCCAUGCACCAUCUUUUAUGAUACCAUGCAUAAUAGUUGCUAUAGUUCCAUUCAGCAAUGUGUGAAUAAAAAUGAUAACAAAACAUAUUUUAUGGCCACCCUAGGUCAGAAUGCCCAUGCUAGAGGGAGCGAUAAUAACAAGAUGAUGCAGUCCUCCUGCCAUGGCAGUGUGGGAAAACCUGUUUGCUGGAAUGUAUUCCCUCCCAUUCAUGUAUCUGAUGGAGGAGGACUGCAAGAUAAGUAUAGGAUGGCCAAAACCCAAGAUAAUAGAGGAAUUAAACCCUAAGUUUAAUUAUCACCCUAUAGCACUCCCUGGACCUCGGGAUUCUAUUAUAGAGUUUUCUGCCUUUUCCAUCUUGGAAAGCACCCACAAAAUUCUAAACGCUUCUAACCCUUCGCUGGCACAACAUUGUUGGUUGUACCUAAAAAUGGGGGUGCCUGUACCCGUGGCUGCUUUUAUGUGAAGAAGUCUGGCAUCGUCAGGAAUAAGAUCAAGACGCUUCAAGAAGACGUAGAGAAGAGAAGGAGGGAACUCAUCGACAGCCCUUUUCUCAGUGGAUUUCAUGGACUCCUACCCUAUCUCCUCCCACUUUUAGGACCUACUGGGGGUUUAUUGAUCUUAGUGUCCUUGGGCCCUGUUCUAUUCAAUAAGGUCAUGGCAUUUCUAAGGCAGCAAAUAGAUGCUAAUGCAGCCUAUCCAGGUCCACUAUCACAAGCUAGAUAUGGCCGAUCAGGAGGCUGGUGAAGAACCAUUUUAUGGCAAGAGGCACGGGCUGGUUAGCCAAUGACAGGUAAGAGGAGCCUUAUUGCCAUCCUAUCAACCUAAGACAGGCUACUCAGACAUAGGCUUCUGGGUAUGCCCAUGACGGGUAAGAGGGUUGGCAC